CAUUUAAAUCGACAUCUUGAACGCAUAGUGUCGCGGCCUCGGGUCCCAUCCCGGGGCCACGCCCGUUCUUGAGGGUCGGCU
rnacentral:rRNA from 1 species